rnacentral:lncRNA from 1 species
GACUUUUGAACUUUUAAGAAUCGAGUUUAUUAAAGUCCUUAAAGGUGAAUUCAUUAUUUCAAACGCCUAUCUUUCAAAUUUUGGCGUAAUCACCUAAAUUCAAGAAGAAUAGCCACACAUACCCAUAUUUCCUACCUCGAACCAAAGAGCCUAACAAUUGAAAGCCACAAAGCCCCAAUGAUCCCAAUAGCUUAAUUGUUCGAUAUUAGUAGAGUAGAAUAAUUUGGUGAGUAUUUGGAGUCAAGCAUACGCAUGUAAGUAUAAAUUUUUUCUAUCUUUAAUUUGCAAAUAUUGGAUGCUUGAAGCAAUUGUAUGAAUUGUGGUUUUUGGUAAU